CCGCCAGUGAGUGAUUCUGUUAGGGGAAGAUGUCAUMGUAAMGGUAWGGUCCACCUUAUUAAUUUCACUCUUUUUMUGUUGGUGUAUGUCUGGUUUGAUAUUAUUGUUUAGUAAUGUAAGUUUGUGUAGUUUUAGUUAAGCUAAGUCUAUGUGCUGCUUAUAAGAGUUUUUGUGUGUUACACUUUGAUAGGAAUAUUGUUGAAUAUGGUAUUGUA
rnacentral:rRNA from 1 species